GCAUCAGUAAAGUUUCUCCUUACCUGUUGUUUUAGAAAUAAGACUAUGACACCUGAUGAUUGGAUUCUAUGAAUACUUGAUUGUAUUCUGUUUUUGUACGGGUCUUACAAUCCCUUUAUGAAUCUUAUCAGAU